rnacentral:lncRNA from 1 species
AGGGCAAAAGCCCUAUGCUAGCUAAAAGAAACGAAAAAGGAAGAAAAGGCCGAAGCCCCUUUCUCUGGCAGACAAAAUCAAAUUCUUCUGCGUAAAACCAAGCAGAAGCAAAAAAAAAUUUUGACGGGUCAGAAUUAAAGCAAAUAAUCAAGAACAAAUACAAAAGAAGCCACUUCCAUCCAUUAUUUGUUCAAAUCUUCAGGUACUUAUUCCACAAAUUUGAAAAUAUAUUUUAAUAGUUGGAGUUAAAUAAGGAGAUUGGCAAAAGUCAGUGAAACAAGGAAAGAUAUGUAUAAAUUUUUGUUAAUCUUUGGAAAUCUGUUGAGGGAUCUCAAGCACGAACUGUGUCUUACGGGUAUAGCUUGAGCUUCUAUUUCUAGUAGAUUUUAAUUUCGAUUCUCAUGAUUGGGAGACUCUACAGAGAAAUAGAAAUUAUACUAGGUCAUUCACACUUGAGAUUUUUCUUCCUAUAGAAUCAAUAGAACUUUAUGAAAUUGGAUGAAUAAAAUAUAUGAAUAUGUUGGAGUUGAUAGAUUAGUAAUUACUCAUAGGUGGAUAAAUAUAAUUCGGCGAAUUAAGAGUCAAAUAUGAAACCUCGAGGGUCGGGUAUUCUAAAUUAGCAAUGAAUUAGCCUAAACAAGGAAAUUAAUAUGAGAUUUAUAUUAUGUAAUUAUAGAUUAAUUGGAGGAAUUUGUACGAAUUGCUCGAAGUGAAGCAUUUAGUAUUUCGGCACGUGUACUGUGAGUAGUAAUCUUACCGCAGUUUGUAUUUUCAUUACUUGCAUGAUUUACACAUAAUUUUUAAUAUGAAUAUAUUACAGAUUAUUUUAAGUUGCAUGUAGGACAAGUCCUUUACUUGAUAUGAUACCAAAAUAGUUAUUUGAGAUGAAUACCAUGAUUUUUAAAUAUGUUUGUUGUCACUACAUCUGUUUGACCGUUACUUGAAUUUACUGUUAUCAAAGGAGAUUAUAUGAUUUGAGAAGAACCGAAAUGCCCUAUAUUGUUUUAGAAUAGUUUCUACGAGUAUAUACGGAUUACAGUGACAAGUAUAAAUGGGAGUAGACAUUGAAGGAUCCCGUAGCUAAUGACGGGUUCAUUAGACAUGGUGCACCUUAUAAUUACCGAUUACCGUUAUAGCCCUCGCUAGUGGAAUGGUAGAACUAGCAUACCGUUACCGAUUUCCCUCGAGUAGGGACUACCGUUAUAUAUGACUUCAUGCAAAGAAGUCUACAGUUAUACCGAUUACAUGAUCCUUUCUUGAAACCUCCCAAAAUGUAAAUACUGAUAUUAUACAGUGGUUACCGAGCUUAUCACUGAAAUGUUAAUUAUGUUUUACUACAAGAAAAACAUGACGAGAUUGAAAAUUAUUUAUUUGUAGUUUCUGAAAUGGGCAUUUUUAUGAUAAUUUCUGUUUAAUAUACUAGCAUACUUUCUGACUUGUCCACAAUGAAAACGGUUGUGGUUAAGUGUUGUUACUCACUGAGCGAGUGAUUCAUUCCCCACUAAUUUUUUUACAGAGACUACAGUGGACUCAGGCGAGGAUUUCAUUAAUUAGAGCGCACAAGUAGAGAAUUCUUGGUGAGCCUCGCACUUGUUCGCGUGGGCGGAGAUUUUUUAUCAAUUGUUGUGGUCUUUUCUUUGAAUUCUUAGAUCACUCCAUAGUCAUUCUCUUAGACUCCAUAGUCAUUCUCUUAGACUCCAUAGUCAUUCUCUUAAGAAGUAUUGGGGGGAGGUGAUCAUGCACGAUACAGCGAGGCUUCAGAUUUCCGAGGACAUGACACUUUAUAGGAACAUAUGGAGGUCGAAUAUUAAGAUUGUAGGUUAGGAGGUAGUUGAGUCUUAUGUCAUAACUUUGUGGAAUUAGUUUGGUAGGGAUACUAUUUCGGUUUUGCUUUCUAUCUUUCUUCUGGAUUUUAUGUUGUUCCAUUUUUUCCUAUUUUUCCUAUUAUGUUAGUGGUGUUAUUGAUUUUGUCUCCUAUUGUCUUUUUUGUCCUCUUGAGCCGAGGGUCUUUCGGAAACAACCUUUCUAUUCCUUCGGGGUAGGGGUAAGGUUGCAUACAUACUACCCUUCCCAAACUCCAUUACUGAAAUUAGGUGGAUCAUUAUUGUUGUUGUAUUGAUGUCAUGAUUCUAAAAGAAUUUGAAUUCAAGAAAAAGAUAAUAUAUUAAAUGAAUAAAAAGAGAAAAUGAUUAAAAUCACAUUCAAAAAGAUAAAAAUUUGGAAAAAUUAAAAGUAAGUAAAUAUAUAAUUUAUGGGAAUCGAUUAAGGACAAGGGGGACGUAUAUGAUUUAUUUAAGGAAGCAAAUAUACAAAGAUGAACAAAUAAAGAAAAUUAAGAAAAAUGAGCAUAUUAAAAAGAAAGAAUUGGCACAAGUAGAGACAAGGAUAAAUAAGUAGACUUGGGAAGUAAGUGCGGCUCGAUCCCUUAUUUUGGGAGUGUACAUGGAUCGAGUUGGUAUGGUUUUUAUUAAAAUUAAAUUAAAUUAAAUCAAUUAUAUCGGUUUGGAUUGAUUUGAUUUUUUGGAGUUCUUUUUGUUACAUGAAUAUUAUUUCAAUCUUACUUCAUUAAAAUUAUAGAUGAAGCUUUGAUAAGUGAAUAUAAGCUUAGUAAAAAAUUAAAAAGCUGAUAAAUAUAUGAUCUAUUAAAAUAUUUUUAUGGGAGAAUAUUUUUUAGUAACACAUAAUAGUUAUUUUGUUAUUCAUCUAACAAUAAUUUUUCGUUGAUGUACGCUUUCAAGGUUAAUUAAAUUUAAUAAUUAAGCACAAAAUCAAUAUAAAACCUAAAUAAUGAUAUGUUCUAUUUAAUUUUAAAUUAAUCGAACUACCAUUUCAAAACCGAAAAGGUAUAAGAAUUUAAUAGAUUUUGACAUAUAAUAUGAAAAAACAAAGAGAUUUGACGCAUUUCAAUGACAUCUGAUAAAAAAGUGAUGAUACAACUUAUUAUAUAACGUAAAUAAAUAUGAAUGAACUUCAUAGUUCUAUUAAAUAUUAGUACGUCAAAUAUGCUGUGUUGUUUAAUAAGAUCACACUCCUCCAUCAAUGCACUUAUUACACUUCCUGUAUAUCCAUAACAUGCAUCCCAUAACUUGUGUUGUUUUAGUAACCCUUUUAUGGAAACUCAACCGCAACAUGCUCUGUAGUCUCUCUCAACACACUUUUUCCUCACCAAAAGAAACACAAUCCCCUCUUCCCCUCAAAAAAGAAGCAUAUCCCCCCUUUCCCCUCACAAAAGAAGCACAAUCCUCACCCUCUACCACGGAUUGACACUCUCAUCCAUUGAUCAUCAUCCUAUACUCCAAGAUAUCAAUGGCCACACUUUUAAUCCCUCCACAACCCCAAAAAUCAUAAGCUCGAUCUAUAUAAUAAUGUCCACUUGCCCACAAAAUGGUGUCACGUUUUGAUGUAUUCAGGAGUUCUUGUAGUCCUGGUUCAAAGUGCUAAUCUCUUCUCCUGAUCUUAGAGAAGAGCAGAAUAUAAAUUUGGGCCAGGACUGCUGGAGCUUGGUGAUCACGCCCAACUCUAGUCCUAAAGAGGAUAAGCGGUCGCUGCAAAUAUAUUUCGGUCUAAAAGUACGGAGUCGAAUCUCACAGAGAACUAAGACUUAGCUGUAUCUGUUUAAUAUCACCAAGAAGACAAGAUUGAAAAUAAAUAACCAGCUGAAAACUAACUAUGCUUGAAUUGUAAACAAUUGAAAUAAAGGUCUAAGGUAAUGGGUUCCCCCGUUGGUAAUUUCUUUGGUUGUAUAUGCCUUAUAACUAUGAUUUAGUUGUCUCUAUCAAUCGUGAACGUUCCAGCUAUCAUAAAUCUUUCUCAAGCAAUUAUGAUAAUUUACUAUACGCACUCUCUCAAGCUACGCUAGCUAGAUUCACAAUACAGUUCACUUAGAUUGCACCUGAGGUAUCGUUAUCUCUAAUCCAACCUUUAAACCCUCGGUUAUGACUGUUGUUCAUACAAUCAUCUAAAUAUGCACUCUCUCUCAAGUAGAUACAUAAUAAAUAUGAACGGAUAAUUGAGAGCCCUUUCAACUAACCACAAUCAAAACAUAGAUGAACAAAUAGAGAUUAACAACCACAUCCAANNNNNNNNNNNNNNNNNNNNNNNNNNNNNNNNNNNNNNNNNNNNNNNNNNNNNNNNNNNNNNNNNNNNNNNNNNNNNNNNNNNNNNNNNNNNNNNNNNNNNNNNNNNNNNNNNNNNNNNNNNNNNNNNNNNNNNNNNNNNNNNNNNNNNNNNNNNNNNNNNNNNNNNNNNNNNNNNNNNNNNNNNNNNNNNNNNNNNNNNNNNNNNGGUAAAUUUACUUUUGGGUGAUCUCUCACACUUGUUUCUCUUGCCAAAGUACUCUCAAAAGUAAGUUUACCUAAUGAAAACCUUGAUAAUUUAACCUUGGACGAGCUUGACUUUAUAUAGGUUAAGUGGGUUCUCUCUAGAUUUCCAAUUUUACCCCUAAAUAACUCUUUUCUGGACCGGCCUCGCGCGCAACUUCGCUCAUCAUUCUGCCUCAACCCUUAACGCGCACGUACUUGUACGCGAGCUCGCGCGUCCACUCGCGCAUCUGGGCCAUGAUCUCUUCCAUUCUUUGUCUCGUUCUUGCGCGCACUCAUCUGUGAUGGGUGGUUCUUGCUCAUAAAUCAUUCCAAUAGCCUCUUGAAAGCAUCAUAUAAGCUCCUCAUCCUGCAAUGUAUACAAAUCACAAUUAGAGCCUAUUUUUCAUCAAUUAACCAUAUUAUUAUGUUGGAAUAUAUCAAGCGAAAGCAUAAACAAUAGCUAAAUCACCUAGAUUUCGCCUAUUAUUAAUUGGUGAACUGUCUUUUGUUUGCUAAACGUUACUUCACCUACAAUCUUUCAUGUUUUAAUUUGGUGUUACCAACUGUUUUCAGAUGGUUUUUUGAACCGACGAGAGUUUUCUUUCUCUUUUAAUUCUAUAUUCUAAUUACUCUUUAGCUUCUGGGCUGAUUACUCUCUUUUUAUCUUUUAUGUAUGGUAGUGUACUUCUGUGUGUUUUGACCACAUUGUGGUAAUCUAUCUCAGGUUCCUACUUCAUUUGGUAAUUUCUUGCGGUUAGAAUGUUGCUUGUGACAUUAUGUUGGAUUCUAAUUAUCUUUUGUUUCACUAGGAAUUGACUGUUUUACUCUUGCUCAUCACAGAUUUAAAUAUAAUUUAUUUCAGGAAGCUCUCGCUUUUUGCUGCCUGUUUUAAGACUAGUACCUUUCUUUGUUAUAUACUUGGUUCACACACACACACAUAUAUACAUAUCUCCAUUUUUGUCAGAACUAGCUUCUCUUUGUGAACUUGCUAUUUCGCAGACCUUAAGUUAGUUCUCGUUGUUUCUGCUUCUUGAUGUUAAAAUACUUUUACCUUGACAGGCAGAUUUGUGGAACUAGAGCACAAGUGACAAGCUAAGACCAAUACUGAUCAAGCUAAAGUGUAGUUGGAGACUGUGGGAUGAGAAAACUAUGCUUGUUUUGGGGUUUAAACAAGAUGGUGUUGUGGAAGAAUUGUGUAUUGUGAAUAUUUUGAAAUUGAAAUAUAUAAUUGUAUGUAACUUGGAACUUUGAACUUGUUUUGGAAUCUAAAAAAUUUAGAUUCUUAGCUACGUACAUUAUAAAGUUCCUGUGAUUAACAAUUCUUGUAGAAAAUUCUCCUUUUGUAGCAGUGGAAUUUUUGAAUUCACAUAAAUUACAAAGAGUUCCUGUAAUACUAUAUUCCCCCUAAAGUCAAUUAACAUUGCUAUGCUCCCCUUAUUUACGUGUUGUUUCUACUGGUCCAGCCCACCAUGGAAAAACUAAAAUUCUCUAUAAUCAAAUGCUCAACGACUCUUUCAUAAUACAUUGAAGGAAGUCUAUUGUAUAAAGGUCUCUACUCUUUACACUUAUUUUACC